AUAACAAGCAGUAUCUUUGUUUUUAAUUGAAGUUUACAAAAAAUAUUAGAGAAGGAAAAUGGUGAAUGGUUCAAAUUGGACUGCGUAUUUACGAUCAUAUUUUUUUCACAAGUGAAAUAGAUUUAUUUUAAUGGGACCACAUGAAUUUGUAAGAGAUCUUCGACCUCUCGAAGAUUAAAUCGAUCAAUAAAUAAUGCUUCUCUUUGAGAAAAAUAAAUAGAAAAAAAAAAAAAGAGAUAGGGAUAAAUGUAAUCACAAGAAACUAUAAAUUCUCUCUUCGAAUAAAUCUUCUUCAACUCGGUAUAUUACGAAGUAUAUAAACAUCUUUAUCAGUUAUGUUAUACUCAGUCCACUUUCGAUGAAUACGAUGGAUUAUAUCAAUGAUAUUUCGUUCUUGAUGUCAGUUAUACGCCAGACGGCCAAGACGAUUGAUGUAUUCUCAUUGAUUCUCUUCUUCUUCUGAGUCUUGCUUCGUAAUCGAAAAUUCUUCAACGAUAUAAUAUCAUUUUAUUCUCCACGAUAUUUCGAUUUUUCUGCAGAAAAUGGCGAGCUUCGUAUGCUUGGAAGAUUACGAAAAAUAUGCGACUAACAAUCUGCCGCCAAUUGUAAGAGAUUAUUAUAAAAGUGGAGCCGGUGAAGAAUCUAGUUUACGAUGGAACAGAGAAGCUUUUAAGAGGUAUCGAAUAAAACCUAGAUUUCUUCGGGAUGUUUCAAAAAGAGACAUAAGCACGACAAUAUUAGGUGAAAAAAUUUCUAUGCCAUUGGGAGUAGCGCCAGCUGCAAUGCAACGCAUGGCUCACCCAGAUGGCGAAUGUGGUAAUGCUAAAGCUGCCGAAGCAAUGGGAACGAUCUUUACACUAUCGACCAUAUCAACCAGCAGUAUCGAAGAAGUCGCCGAGGUAGCACCGAAAUGUAUCAAGUGGUUUCAACUUUACGUUUAUAUCGAUCGAAACAUAACGUUGAAUUUAAUAAGACGAGCCGAGAAAGCUGGCUUUAAAGCACUCGUUCUUACAGUGGACGCGCCAAUUUUUGGCGACAGACGAGCCGAUUUGAGAAACAAAUUUUCACUUCCUAAACAUUUGAGAUUAGCUAAUUUCGAAGGAAUAUUGUCGAAUAAAAUAAACACAUCUAAAACAGGAUCAGGUUUAAACGAGUACGUUAGUGAUCUAUUCGAUCAAUCACUUUCUUGGGAAGAUGUUACAUGGCUCAAAAAUGUUACGAAAUUACCGAUCGUAUUGAAAGGUAUUUUAACUGCCGAAGAUGCACUUUUAAGCGUGAAGUAUGGAGCCGCCGCCAUUAUAGUUUCUAAUCAUGGUGCACGUCAAGUUGAUGGUGUUCCUGCCACGAUCGAAGUCUUAGCAGAGAUAGCGAAUGCGGUAAAGGAUAAAAUAGAAAUUUAUAUGGAUGGAGGGAUUAGACAAGGCAUUGACGUUUUUAAAGCUCUUGCUUUAGGUGCUAAUAUGGUAUUCAUAGGUAGACCGAUGUUAUGGGGUUUAUGUCAUGCUGGAGAAAAAGGUGCAUUAAAUAUUCUUGAUAUGAUGAAAAAAGAAAUCGAUCAAGUCAUCGCUUUGACAGGUUGUACGACCAUAAAGGAUGUCACCAGAGAUAUGGUCGUUCACGAGUCAUGUUACAGUCACUUGUGAUAUUGCCUUCCACACGAUAAAACAAUUUUACGACAAUUUAUUCGACAUUACGUAUACGACAAUAUUAUAUUAGACAAUAAUGGAAAAAGCAUAUGUUCGUUGUUUAUCAUUUUCGCAUAAGAAGACUUACUCUCCGGCACCUAUGGCAAGGCUCUCAUUGUUGCCUUUGAUGAAGUAAAGAUUGUCACCGGUCCAAUUGAAAGCUUGGAACCUUGGUGUAAACCUAAAGAGUAAAGACUCUCCUGUACCAUAAAAGUGAUCGCUCACGUGUAGAGCACAAGAAGUCAAUGCUCCAAACACCUGCAACAUCAAUUAUUAUUACCUGUUGUGUUUGUAUAAUAUAUAUACAUAAAAAUAUGAGAACAAAGAAGAUUCAACUUUUAACAGAUGUAAUAUUAACUCUAAUCAAAGAGUUCAAUAUCUAUGCGUGUGUAAGCGAUCACCUUUUAUAAAUUUCAUUUAUUUAAUACGUUUCAUAAUUCGAAUUAAAGAAAAAAUAGAAAGAAAAAUAUGAUACGGUAAAAAAUAUAUAAAUAUAUCUCGCACCAACAAAAAUAUAUAAUUUUUCAUCACUUUUGAAAUAAUCACAAUUACUAAUAAGAAACUUAAUUUCAUUUUUUGUUGAUCCAGUCAGAUUUUUUGAAACUUAUUUGUUUAUUAUUAAAAGGAAAAAAUAAUAAUAAAUAAAAUAAGAAAUUAAAAAGAAAAUUAAAAAAAAAAAAAUAAAUAAAUAAAGAAUAGAAAUUAGAUAAUACUUACGUUACCCUCGGUGUCCUCGAUAACAAGCAGAAUCGGGCUUUCAAUUUUGCCCAUUUUUCUGUACAUACUGUUUAGACUAAAGCCAUGUUGGCUCGUACUAAAUACCAACGUCCAAAGGUAGCCUUCCGCUCUCGCUGGUAAAUGUCUGCAUAAGUGUUCUCUGUGUUCGUCGCUGAGAAUCUCCGUCGUACCAACAAGAUCCGGUACAAUUAUGUCAUUGUCCAAGGAGACUGCGCUAUUCGCAUAUAGAGCUCUUCUAAGCUCCUCGCUCAUAGACAACACCUAUACGAAAUUAGAAAUAAAUCAUUUAUAGAUAUUCACGUAAAGAGGCACAAAGAAUGUAAAAACAUGGAUGAUAAAGCACAUCGUGCUUUUAUUAUGAAAAAUUGAUAACACGAAAAAAGAAACGAUUGGAAUCAGUUUUAUCGAGCACAUUGUCGAAUUUUCAUUUAUUCGUUUUUUUUAUUUAUAUUCGUAUAAAAAUAAUUAAUGAAAAUGUCAAAAUGAAAUUUUCAAUUUGAUCAAAUCUUGAUCAUACAAUUGUAUUUUUAUUUCGUUACGAUUGAAUAAAAUUUUACGAAGACUAUCGACAUAUUAUUCUCGCUAUAGAUAUAUAUUAUUUUUUCUAUUUUUUCUAUAUAAUUUUUAACGAGAAAUUGUAGAUAUUGUAUGUUAUUUUAAUCGAUCAAAAAUGUCCAUAUUCUUUUUCUCUUUACGCAAGAGAAUAAGGUAUAUAAUUAAUGAUUAAAAAAAUUUGAGUUGUUGACAAUGUAUUCGAUUAAACAGUCUUGAUCUUUCAAAAAUUACAUGAUGAUAUCGAUGAUUUCUAAUCCUAAUCUAAAUCUAAACAUAGCUAUAAACACUUAUGGCUAGGAAUCCAAACAUCGUGUUCUUCAUUUUGUUCUAGUUACAGUCGUUUGUAUGAAGGUAUAAAGAAGUUUCGUGUUUAUAAUGUAAAAUGUGCAAAUUCUUAGGGCGAUGCUGUGAUUAAAACGAUAUUUUCUUAAAUGAUAAUUAACAAAAAGGACAUUUAUUAAGAAGGAUGUAUGAUAAGCUAGAGGCGAAUAAAUUUCUUGAAUAAAUUGAUGAUAUAGAA